rnacentral:rRNA from 1 species
UUUAGACUCCUCAGGGGAACCUGUUUCAUAAUCGAUAAUCCACGUUAAACCUUUCCUUUUUUGAUAUGUAGUAUGUAUACCGUCGUCGUCAGGUAACUUUUCAGAAUUAAGAAGUUAGCGAUCAAAUUCAUUAUAAAUUUUGACGUCAGAUCAAGGUGCAGCCCAUAAAAAGGUGAAAAUGGGUUACAAUUAAAAUUAAUAAUUAUGAAUAAAGAUUAGUAUAAUUUUUUGAA